ensembl:lncRNA
AAUAAGAGGUGUAAUUUUAAUCAAAUUAUAGUGAUAUGAAAAUGUAAACUGUAAAUAAAGUCUCUUUUUAUCAUGAAUGUGUGUGUCCACUUGGUCCCUUGGCAUGAGCGGGGAUAUUUAUCUAGAGUAUCAAUUUCUAUACGAAGUCUUUAGUAACAGCAUUUCUCUGAAGAUGAUUUAAUGGAGCUUGUGUUUAGAGUGUAACUUGUACUUUAGUUUUCUUCAUUUUCCCAAAUUUAACACCAGAUACUUCACAGUACACGAAUACCACAUGGAGAUACAAACUUUAUAGUUGACGUGAGGGUAACACUGUUUACACAAGGGUAACAGGCUUGACACUGAGGUAACACUGUUUACACAAGGGUAACAGGC